rnacentral:lncRNA from 1 species
UUCAUAGUUUAUGUAUUUUAAUAUUCUAAUAUAAUAUAAGUAUAAAGAUAGGUAGAAAUACUUAGCGAGAUAAAUGGGGGCGCUCUCCCCCAAGCUGAAUUUUGACGUAAUUUCUCUUGAUGUAGCUAGCAGGUGGCAGAGGUGUAUUUGAAAGUCAGCAGCAUUCUGACAGCGAUUAGAAUGUCCUCCGUCUGCUAGUCUUCUUGAUUCUUAAAUUCAGUGGAGCUCAAAUGGACAACAAAGCUUGUGGAACUAAUUAAGUGUUAGCAUAAAUAUCUAGCCUUCAUCACGUUGAGCUUCCUCAACAAAUAUUACUCCCUGUUUUUAUAUUUUUUUAUUUUAUAAAGCGAAAAAGAAAUAUUUAUUUUAUUUUUAUGCCACCACAGUGAAGGUACUUAUGGGUUUUAUGCCACUCGUAUACUCACAUGGGGCUUAGUAUUUUUUUUAACAUUUUUAUUUUCUUUUCAAGAUAACAUGAUUAACUAAUAAUCUAUUUAAGGAAAGUAAAUAAUUAAAGGGAAAAGGGAAUGCAGAAAGGAUAAAUAUGGAUAACUACUGAUCUUACCUUUCGGCGAGGGUUCAAUGUUUUAAGUCUUCUUAACAAGACUUCUCAGCGUGUUCAUUCUUCAGGUGCGUCAUUUGAUUCAGGUGCGGACCUUGACGUCUGCACCUCUUCGUUUGCCCAGCAGUUCGAAGUGCAGCGUUGGCAGUAUCCUGCUCACUGUGUUUGUGCUCGUAGAUCCAGGUCCUUCACUUGGUAGAGUCUGAGAGUUAUAAAACUCCUCCAUGUUUUGCUCGAAGUGUACCUGCUCAUAGAGACAAGGCAGAGAUCAAGUGCAUGGGUCCUGUUGGUGGAAAACACCAACAGAACCUAAAGUGUAUGUGUUCUUCUCUAACCCUAAGCAUAGUGAGCAAGACAAAGUUGAUGGAUGAAAAGUUCAUGAGUGUAGCACUUAUAACAUUUGUCAGAUCAGAUCGCUCAACCUUAUGGAAAGAUAAUUUAUCUAUGUAUAUGUCUUUUUCUUUAUAUCUCUCAAUGAUUGAAUGUGUAACAUUUUAGCUAAUCAUGUGGGAUCAUGGAGAUAGUACUAAGAACAAGGAUUAAAGGACUAAACAUGUUGAAUCCGUUGGGUUGGUUAAUCUAGAGUUGUAAAUCAUACAUGUUUGUCUCUUUUAUUUAUAUGAACGCCAAAACCAAGAAGAAGCUUAUAAAAGUGAUAGUCAAGUACCUUAAGAUGUUACCUUGCUUGAAGAGUGAUGGUACAGUAUCACCUUGUGGAAGCUUUCCUUUCUUAGUGGUUGUGCAUCGUGUUUGUGGCACCCUCUAUGGAUCAUCUCUCUAUGAUGAAUGAGCUAUGUCCUUCUUGUGCAAAUUGUUAAACUUCAUGUGUCACUUUCUUCGUCUCUUGUGCUUGUCAUUCAUCCGAUCUUCUUGCUCCAAUCCUGUAAAGGUUAGUGACAAGAAUACCCGAAGGAAUAUUUUUACAAUUAUCCUUAUAUGCUCAAUACACAAGGUAAUGUUGCAAAUAAUUAAAAGCUCAUGUUACGAUCUGAUCAGUGCUUAUUUUAAGACACUAAGCUUGUCCUUGGGAAACCAUCAAUUUAUGUCGGCAAAGUGGUUUCCCUUCCAACGCUGACCUAUAUCAAGAUCAACUCAACGAGAUCUGCAAUAUUUAUUAUAGACAUAUGCAUCGACAACCGCCCUUUUAAAGUUUUUAUAAAUAGAAAGGAAGAGGGGGU